CGCACAGGAUGCACCGUAGUUUACUACACCGUAUUCUGUGAGUUGCGAACGGGUGAGUAACGCGUAGGUAACCUGCCUGGUAGCGGGGGAUAACUAUUGGAAACGAUAGCUAAUACCGCAUAAGAACAUUUACUGCAUGGUAGAUGUUUAAAAGGUGCAAAUGCAUCACUACCAGAUGGACCUGCGUUGUAUUAGCUAGUAGGUGAGGUAACGGCUCACCUAGGCGACGAUACAUAGCCGACCUGAGAGGGUGAUCGGCCACACUGGGACUGAGACACGGCCCAGACUCCUACGGGAGGCAGCAGUAGGGAAUCUUCGGCAAUGGGGGGAACCCUGACCGAGCAACGCCGCGUGAGUGAAGAAGGUUUUCGGAUCGUAAAGCUCUGUUGUUAAGGAAGAACGAGUGUGAGAAUGGAAAGUUCAUACUGUGACGGUACUUAACCAGAAAGGGACGGCUAACUACGUGCCAGCAGCCGCGGUAAUACGUAGGUCCCGAGCGUUGUCCGGAUUUAUUGGGCGUAAAGCGAGCGCAGGCGGUUAGAUA
rnacentral:rRNA from 1 species